UGGGGAAUAUUGGACAAUGGGCGAAAGCCUGAUCCAGCCAUGCCGCGUGUGUGAAGAAGGCCUUUUGGUUGUAAAGCACUUUAAGUGGGGAGGAAAAGCUUAUGGUUAAUACCCAUAAGCCCUGACGUUACCCACAGAAUAAGCACCGGCUAACUCUGUGCCAGCAGCCGCGGUAAUACAGAGGGUGCAAGCGUUAAUCGGAAUUACUGGGCGUAAAGCGCGCGUAGGUGGUUAUUUAAGUCAGAUGUGAAAGCCCCGGGCUUAGCCUGGGAACUGCAUCUGAUACUGGAUAACUAGAGUAGGUGAGAGGGGAGUAGAAUUCCAGGUGUAGCGGUGAAAUGCGUAGAGAUCUGGAGGAAUACCGAUGGCGAAGGCAGCUCCCUGGCAUCAUACUGACACUGAGGUGCGAAAGCGUGGGUAGCAAACAGGAUUAGAUACCCUGGUAGUCCACGCCGUAAACGAUGUCUACCAGUCGUUGGGUCUUUUAAAGACUUAGUGACGCAGUUAACGCAAUAAGUAGACCGCCUGGGGAGUACGGCCGCAAGGUUA
rnacentral:rRNA from 1 species